GUAAGCGUGCGCAGGCGGUUAUGUAAGACAGAUGUGAAAUCCCCGGGCUCAACCUGGGAACUGCAUUAGUGACUGCAUAGCUGGAGUACGGCAGAGGGGGAUGGAAUUCCGCGUGUAGCAGUGAAAUGCGUAGAUAUGCGGAGGAACACCGAUGGCGAAGGCAAUCCCCUGGGCCUGUACUGACGCUCAUGCACGAAAGCGUGGGGAGCAAACAGGAUUAGAUCCCCUGU
rnacentral:rRNA from 1 species